CAAAGAUGGCCUCCGGUUCUUGCCUGCAAAACCUCUCACACAGAGACCCAAUCAAAGAGAAUUCUAACUUGAAACCAAAUACAAAGAGAUUACUAUCCUUAAGUGUGCGGUUUUGUGACAAAGACAAAAAGGGUGCCUUUAAAGCAUUAAUUUGUUUGUGAUAAUCUCUGUAAGAUUAAGGCACAGGGUUACUCUCUGCUAUGUUAUCUCAAUAAGCAACCAAUCAAACCAAUGCACAAAUCAUCAGAGAUUUCAAAGACAUACUAUUCUAAAACUUCAAAGGAUUAGAAAGGGAACAAGUUACUUACGAUUUCUCUCCCUCUUCAAAUG